AUAUCUGGGUAUACACCGUAGCAUCACAAGGGCCACCAAGAACUGGCUCAACUCCCAUCGAACCAAGUUCGUCAUGCUAGAGCACUUUUUCAAUGUGCUCCCAACGAGAAGGUGAUGAUGCAUUCGUAUGUCAAUCCAUAUCAACUUUCUGCGCCUACCAUGGUGACCACGGGUAACGGGGAAUCAGGGUUCGAUUCCGUACAGGGACCCUGACAAACAGCUACCACAGGCAAGGAAGGCA